GAUGAACGCUGGCGGCGUGCUUAACACAUGCAGGUCGAACGAAGCAUUUGCGACAGAUUUUUUCGGAAUGAAGUUGCUUAUGACUGAGUGGCGGACGGGUGAGUAACGCGUGGGUAACCUGCCUUGUACUGGGGGAUAGCAGCUGGAAACGGCUGGUAAUACCGCAUAAGCGCACAAUGUUGCAUGACAUGGUGUGAAAAACUCCGGUGGUAUAAGAUGGACCCGCGUCUGAUUAGCUGGUUGGUGAGAUAACAGCCCACCAAGGCGACGAUCAGUAGCCGACCGGAGAGGGUGACCGGCCAGAUUGGGACUGAGACACGGCCCAGACUCCUACGGGAGGCAGCAGUGGGGAAUAUUGCACAAUGGAGGAAACUCUGAUGCAGCGACGCCGCGUGAGUGAAGAAGUAAUUCGUUAUGUAAAGCUCUAUCAGCAGGGAAGAUAGUGACGGUACCUGACUAAGAAGCUCCGGCUAAAUACGUG
rnacentral:rRNA from 1 species